CUUUCUUCUUUCCCCGCGCGGGCGGCCGGCUGCGGCUCCCUGUUUCUCGGGUAUUCGAAAGCAGGCGUAUCCGUGCAAUGCUGGGAGGAGGGGGACGUGGGGCCCCUGAAGGGACACGAAUUCUCAGCGUUUUCUCUACUCAAGCCCCUUCCGGAGGUGGCCGGCUUUUCCCCGUCACUGAGAGCCGCGGUUUUUCCUGCGGAGCCCCGGCCACGCUGCCCAGUGGCCUUUCUGCCUCCAGCCCGCAGCCUCCGACAGCCCGCAGCCGCCCAGGUUCGCGCUUCCCCGCGGCUUCGAACCACUACUAGCGCGCGCGGCCCGCCCAACCCUGGGCUCCUGCCGUUUCUGCCGCUUCAGUGCCUGUCUACAGAUAUUGGUCCACAAGCUGCAAUUGUUUCCAAAGUCUUUUUCCAAAUAGUCACGACCAGCACUACAAUACAUGAUGACCAAAGUCCUAUGAACCCUCUUCUGCUGACUCAUAUUUUCCCUCUGAGGAGUCAAUCCUCCAUUUAGCAUCAGCUUCCUUAUGUCAUGUGUGUUGCCUAUACGUAGAAUAUCAAUACUGGUGUGAUUUGCUCUCUCUGAUAAUAUGUCUACUCAUUCGUCAUUGGACAAAGAUCUCUCAAGUGAACGUUUAUAAAGAAAUGGUCCAGGUCUAAAAACUCUCUUUUUCAAAGUCAUUCUGCCCAUCACUUCAGAAGUACAAAAGGACACAGAGGACUGGGGGCCAUUUGCAUUAUUCCUUGUUUCAUUUGGUGGUGGUGGUCCUUUGUUUUCUAGGAGGACCAAUGACAUCACGAGGAUGAUGCCUCGACUUGCUCAUGAGUUAGAUUUAAGUGAGGCAGAGUUGCACAACGUCAUCAGUCACACUUUCGCUUCCAGUCAUCCACGUCCAGUAGCAGGACGAGUCAGGAGGACGGAUGAUGGUCUGAGACGCAGUGGAUGACCUUGGUGUCUUCCAUGUCUGAUUAAACUCUAAGCACUCCACACCACCUGCUUCAGAUGCCUUCGUGACCAUUGGAACAAACUGUCUUCAUCUGCCCUUUCUACCAGGGGAAGACGUCACCCACCACCUUUGCAAUGGGUUUGAGGCCUCUUUGUUACCCUCAACUUGGUUUGGCCCAUCUCCCAGAAGGCUUAGCAGAGUGUGGUCACUGUGCAUGCUACAGCUCCUUGGAGCUACAGGUCAGUGCCCGGGGCUGGGAGGACACCAGAGGUGCUAGUGCUCCACAAACGCCCCAUAUGCCCUGGUAUGCCUACUAGGUCACAUGGGAAUAACAUGGUGGUUGUGGUCCUUCUGGGUGAUUUCAUGUAGGAGAUAUCUCUGAAUCUGAUGCUAUAGAACAUGAGAUUCUCCCCAGUUGUGGCCAGUCACAUGGGUACCAACAUCCGUGCAUCAGCUUGUGGAAUGAACGGCAGCAGCGAGCUGGUGAUCCAUUUCGUCUCCGUUUAGAGCCUGAGAGGCCUGAUCUGGAGAGUCACCAAUUUGCUUUCUUGAUUCUGGAUCUCACUUUGGGCUGGUAGGAAGAGAAUCCGUUGAUACCCAUCCCCAAACUGACCUUCCCGGAUCUUCUUUUUAUUCAGUCAUUCCACAAGCGGUUGAAUGGAUCCACUUAGACUUGGCGGAGAGCAGCUGGCAGAGCUGGAACUGGUUUUCUAAGUUCAUCGUCCCCCACAAAGGUGGAAGGGCCCGAGGUGGUGAGACCCCUUCAUCUGGGCAUUCCUCGAACUAAUGGGUCUGUCUGUCUGUCUGUAGAGUUUUAAUUGCUUGGUGUUGGACCCCGGGGCUCAUGGGCGACAGAGACAAACUUUACGAAUAUGAGUCUGCGCGUGUUUCUAGUUGUAUCCCUAGAUGCAUCUAGAUGACUGUCUGACACGGCCAGGUGGUCAAGUGGACACAGUGCAGGACUGGAAGUCAGGAAGACCCGAGUUCCAAUCCAGCCUCAUAUCCUCACUAGCUCCGGGGCCUGGGCAAACCAUGGAACCUCUCCUAGACUUAAUUCCGUCUUAUAGUGCCUGCUCCCCAGGGUGGAUAAGAAGGUACAAAGCAAUAUUUGUCAAGUGCUUCUCUCUCCUCUGUCUCUGUCACUCUCUCUGCCUUUCACCAGCCAGUUCUUCCAUGAAAGGAGGCACAACGUCACUAUCUUUUAAGAGAGGACAGAAUCUUCAUUGUGAAUUGACUGUCAUGGCCAAGACUUGAAAGACUUUGCAGUCUCUUUCUUGAGAGAACGACUGAGUGACCUGUCAAAGAGGCUGCGUCCACCCCUCUAACAGCUCUGCUGUCUUCCUGGGCCCUGGAGCCACAAGGACGUCCCCAGGCUUGUCUGACCAGAGCCUCCUGACGUCCCUGGGCACAGAGGCCCACCCGAGGCUAACAGCGCUCCCCAAGGGCUCAGGCAAGACGUGGGACACUGCACGAGCACAGCCCACUGGAGGCGGAAGUGGUGGACAGCUGACCAAGCAUGUGGGCUCUCGGGCUUUGGGUUCCUGGCCUGAAGAGACCAGCAAACGGGGCCAACAGUCCUACACUGAAAGUUUAAAAUAAAAAGGGCAGAGAAGAGGAGACCGACUUCCUCGGGACACCCACCAAAGCAGACACCCUGGGGAGGAGCUGCCACCUAGCAAGAACCUCAGCCACCACACCCAGGAAUUCAGGGAUGACAAAGCCAAGAAAGGAACCUGUGAAGAAACCCCCACCCAAAGUUUAGGCAACACAUGAGAGAAGAGAUCCUGACCCGAGGCACAACCAAGACUCCAUCUGAGUCACUGAAACAUGGCAGGAGGAACCACCCAGGGGACCUGCAGGUCCUCUCUAAAGGAUAAAAUAGCAGAAGAGAGCUGGUAUGGGGAAGGGAGAGAUAUGUGAGGCCAGAAGGCUCGGGUCCAGAGCCCUGAAGUGUAAAGGUCACUGAGGAGAUGGAAGAAAGUUCAGGAAACAUGGCGGCAAAGUGCAGAGCCAUGACCCCCCAUCAUCAUCAUCCUGGUAUCUGCUGGGGUCAUUUCCCUCCUUCUUUCUCUUUUACUUUAUUUCCUAGCUUCCUUCCAUCCUUCCUCCUUCUCUUCUUCCUUCCACUCAUCUUUAAUUCUUUGUCUUCUUUUCUUCCAUUUUCCUUCCCUCCAACCAUCCUUAUUUCUUUGUCUUAUUCCUUCCUUCCUUUCAUCUUCCCUCUUUCCUUCCAUCCCUAAUUCUCUCUCUUCUUCCUUAUAUCCUACCUCUCCUUUUCUUCUUUCUCUCCUCAUUCUUUCCUUUCUUCCAUCCUCCUUCCCUCCUCUUCUUUCCUUUUUUUAUUACAUUCUCUUUUGCUCCUUCUCUUCUUCCUUCAUUCUUUCUUUACUUCCAUCCUCUAUCCCCCUUCCUUCCUUCUUAUCUCCUUCCUUCUCCCCUCCCUCCUUCUCUUCUUCCUUCCUUGCCUACAUUCUCACUCUCACCAUCCCUCCUGCCUUUCCUCCUUCUCUUCUCCUCCCUCCCUAUUUUCUUUUUCCAUACUCCUUCCCUCCUCUUCUUCCCCAUCAUUCUUUCCUGUUUUGCUUCCAUUCUCCCUCCUUCUUUGCUUCCAUCCAUCCUCCCUCCCUCCUUCUUCCU